rnacentral:rRNA from 1 species
AAGUCGAGCGCCCAGCAAUGGGAGCGGCAGACGGGUGAGUAACACGUGGGGCUCUACCCAAUGGUACGGAAUAACCCAGGGAAACUUGGAUUAAUACCGUAUGUGCCCUUCGGGGGAAAGAUUUAUCGCCAUUGGAUGAACCCGCGUCGGAUUAGCUAGUUGGUGAGGUAAAGGCUCACCAAGGCGACGAUCCGUAGCUGGUCUGAGAGGAUGAUCAGCCACACUGGGACUGAGACACGGCCCAGACUCCUACGGGAGGCAGCAGUGGGGAAUAUUGGACAAUGGGCGCAAGCCUGAUCCAGCCAUGCCGCGUGAGUGAUGAAGGCCUUAGGGUUGUAAAGCUCUUUCGCCGGUGAAGAUAAUGACGGUAACCGGAGAAGAAGCCCCGGCUAACUUCGUGCCAGCAGCCGCGGUAAUACGAAGGGGGCUAGCGUUGCUCGGAAUCACUGGGCGUAAAGCGCACGUAGGCGGAUCGUUAAGUCAGGGGUG